rnacentral:rRNA from 1 species
AUUGAACGCUGGCGGCAUGCUUUACACAUGCAAGUCGAGCGGCAGCGCGGGGGCAACCCUGGCGGCGAGCGGCGAACGGGUGAGUAAUGCAUCGGAACGUAUCCUCGAGUGGGGGAUAACCCAGCGAAAGUUGGGCUAAUACCGCAUGAGCUCUGAGGAGGAAAGCGGGGGACCUGCGAGGGCCUCGCGCUGGAGGAGCGGGCGGUGUCCGAUUAGCUAGUUGGUGGGGUAAAGGCUUACCAAGGCGACGAUCGGUAGCUGGUCUGAGAGGAUGAUCAGCCACACUGGGACUGAGACACGGCCCAGACUCCUACGGGAGGCAGCAGUGGGGAAUUUUGGACAAUGGGGGCAACCCUGAUCCAGCCAUGCCGCGUGAGUGAAGAAGGCCUUCGGGUUGUAAAGCUCUUUCGGACGGAACGAAAUGGGCGGGACUAAUACUCCUGUCUGAUGACGGUACCGUAAGAAGAAGCACCGGCUAACUACGUG